GGAUCUGGGGGUGGCCUCAAGCGCAAGGAGGUUGAGUCAGAUGCAAACUCUCCUCGAAGAAAGACAACUUCCCAUCGCCAAAUGGCAGUUGUUGACAGUAUGAGGAAUGAAAACCACCAUCAGAUGAAAAAGGACAGAAAUGUUUAUACCUUUGGAGUGAUUCUCUUGGAGCUAAUAACAAGCCAGUAGCCAAUUGAAGCGAAUAAAUGGCCUUGAUGAGAAUUUGGUCCUAUAGUCUGAACCUACUACUGGCCAUAAGCUUACUGGUGGUUCUCUGUUUCCGUGGCUAUUUGGCUGCAACUGUGAGGUACUGUUAUCUCAACUUCUGGCCCUUGGAAUGCUGAGAUAUUUUGGGAUUCCCAUUCUUGAAAAUCAUUACUUUUUCAAAUCUAGUAAACAGACGAAAUUCUAGGAUUCCUCCUUGAGGCAAAUACUUUUAUGCAUACCUCUUCUGGUUGAUCCACACUAGGUUAAAAAGGAACCUUUGGAUCUAAUGCAACAUUGGUUACAUCAUGAAUAUUGAUUAUUUCAAUUA